rnacentral:sRNA from 1 species
CCGCCGGCGCCGCGCGUGCCCCCCGCCCGGCCCUAAGAGCCGCGCCCUCGCGCGCUCCCGGCGUCCGGACCAAUCCCGGUUCUAGAGCCAGGCUGAGGUGUCGAGAAUCUCCAGCCCCGCCCCGCUCCGCGCCGCGCGCUCCCGGUGCGGUACCGACGGGCACGCGCCAGGCGCCAGCACCCGCUCAGCGGCCGGUGUUCGCACAAUAACAAACCCCGUAGGCCGCGCGUCCGGGAGGACAGGGCGCGCGGCCGAAGAGCAAUUCGAGUGGCCCGUCUGCACGAAGUAGUGGCGACUCAGAAUCCUGCCAGCUGAGGAGAAUUGGGGUCCUUGGUGUGAGCAGUUGGCAGUGGGGUUCCGGAUCCCGCGCAGAUGCAACUGGCCUUAUGUGCCCUUGCUUGGAUUGCCACCUGUGAGGGCGAGGAAAGGGAGGCCGAGUGGAGACAUCGACAUCGUCGCACCUCCACACACACCCCUUCCGCAUGGUGCAGGAGAAGCCUCUAGGAUCUCAUAUCCCUUCCAUUCCUGUUGUGAGUCAGGCUGAAGAAUCCCCCGUUCGGGGUGACAUAAUCACACACUUGCAAGCAAGUGACUAAAACGAGCGUCAAUGAAAACACAAGACAGUGGAGAUAGUGGGGAGGGGUUACUUCUGACAAUGUCACAAGCAAUCUGAGACGCCCCCUCCCUCCCCAUAGCACUGAGUAGGAAUGGUUUAAGAAGGGGCGAGCAAAGAUCCCAGGAGUUCUACAGGUUCCCUCUGGGAUGAAGUACAGGUCAGGUAGUGGCAGCCUGUAUGGCCCAGGGCGGGUGGUUUGUGUAAAGGACCCAUUAAAGGCUGCUGGAGAGCCAGGCCUCCCAGCAGGCUAAUGGGACCCCAAUCUUGGAUCUCUCUUGGGAGUAGAAACAACAGAUGUUGGGACAGCAGAGCAUCGUCUGGGAAGGGAGGAGCUACAGGGUGGAGUGUCUUCAGAUGAGACCAACUGGUGUUGAGAAGCAGGGUCUUCUGGGAAUGAUAACUCAGGACCCUGUGCUUGCAAGAAAAACACUUUGCCAAUGGAUCUCUCUCCAAGGCCCUGGCUGUCUUUAACAGGCUCUUCCCCAAGUCGCCCAUUGGAUGGCCUGCGCAUCGGGGGAGCCAGCCGCAUGCCUCCCAUCAGCUCUUGGGCUGAACAUUUGGGCUGCUUAUCCUCCACUCUGCUCAGGGCCCAGCACACUGCAGACAUCAUCAUCUGCCAUCAUCGAUGUCCUCAACCUGCAAAGACCUGUGUUACAGGGGACAGCAUGGCUGGAGAUGGGGAACCUGAGUAGUGACAACUGAGGCCUCUGCUGUCCUCACUGCAUCCCGUGAGGUGCGGUACAAGGCCCUGGGGAAGACAGUACAGGAAACGGAUCUCAGUGCGGUUUCCAGCCUGGACAACCCCUAGGAUGGGGAGUCUGGGUUGUCAACCUAACACAUGUGGGAAGAGAAAAUUCAAUUGAGGAAUUCUUUCCAUCAGAUUGUCUUUGAGGCAUUUCCCUGACCCUGAGCACAUGUCUGUCUGUCUGUCUGUCUGUC